GAUGAACGCUAGCGAUAGGCUUAACACAUGCAAGUCGAGGGGCAGCAUGGUCUUAGCUUGCUAAGACUGAUGGCGACCGGCGCACGGGUGCGUAACGCGUAUGCAACUUGCCUCACAGAGGGGGAUAACCCGUCGAAAGACGGACUAAUACCGCGUACACUCCAUCUUGGGCAUCCUAGGUAGAGGAAAUGAAAUUCGCUGUGAGAUAGGCAUGCGUCCCAUUAGCUAGUUGGUGAGGUAACGGCUCACCAAGGCGACGAUGGGUAGGGGAACUGAGAGGUUGAACCCCCACUCUGGUACUGAGACACGGACCAGACUCCUACGGGAGGCAGCAGUGAGGAAUAUUGGUCAAUGGGCGAGAGCCUGAACCAGCCAAGUCGCGUGAAGGAUGACUGUCUUAUGGAUUGUAAACUUCUUUUAUACGGGAAUAACAAGAGUCACGUGUGACUCCCUGCAUGUACCGUAUGAAUAAGCAUCGGCUAACUCCGUG
rnacentral:rRNA from 1 species